CCUACGGGCGGCUGCAGUGGGGAAUAUUGCGCAAUGGGGGAAACCCUGACGCAGCGACGCCGCGUGGGUGAUGAAGGCCUUCGGGUCGUAAAGCCCUGUCGGAGGGGACGAAGGAUUGUCGGGCGAAUAGUCCGAUGGUUUGACGGUACCCUUAGAGGAAGCACCGGCUAACUCCGUGCCAGCAGCCGCGGUAAUACGGAGGGUGCUAGCGUUGCUCGGAAUCACUGGGCGUAAAGCGCGUGUAGGCGGUUUCGUGUGUCUGACGUGAAAGCCCC
rnacentral:rRNA from 1 species